CGGUACAGCCGAAGAAGACUCAG
rnacentral:snRNA from 1 species